UUAAAGUCUAACCUGCCCACUGAAAAUUAAAUGGCCGCAGUAUUCUAACUGUGCAAAGGUAGCAUAAUCAUUAGUCUUUUAAUUGAAGGCUGGAAUGAAUGGUUGGACGAAAUAUUAACUGUUUCAUGUGAAUUUUUUAUAGAAUUUUAUUUUUUAGUUAAAAAGCUAAAAUAUAUUUAAAAGACGAGAAGACCCUAUAAAUCUUUAUAUUUAAUUUAUUUUAAUUGUAAAGAUUAUUUUUGUUAAAAUAAAAAAAGAUAUUUUAUUGGGGUGAUAUUAAAAUUUAAAAAACUUUUAAUUUUAAAAACAUUAAUUUAUGAAUAUUUGAUCCAUUAAUAAUGAUUAAAAAUUUAAGUUACUUUAGGGAUAACAGCGUAAUUUUUUUGGAGAGUUCAUAUCGAUAAAAAAGAUUGCGACCUCGAUGUUGGAUUAAGAUAUAAUUUUGGGUGUAGCCGUUCAAAUUUUAAGUCUGUUCGACUUUUAAAUUCUUACAUGAUCUGAGUUCAAACCGGUGUAAGCCAGGUUGGUUUCUAUCUUUAAUAAAAUAAAAUAUUUUAGUACGAAAGGACCAAAUAUUUAAAUAAUUAUAUUUUUUAUAAGAAUAUUAUUAAUAUAA
rnacentral:rRNA from 1 species